GGGGGGCAACCCCCAGUCGAGCGGCGAACGGGUGAGUAACGCGUGGAUGACCUGCCCUUCAGCGGGGAAUAACCCGGGGAAACUCGGGCUAAUACCGCAUACGACCGAGAGGUGAAAGGGGGCCGCAAGGCUCUCACUGAAGGAGGGGUCCGCGUUCGAUUAGCUAGUUGGUAGGGUAAUGGCCUACCAAGGCGACGAUCGAUAGCCGGCCUGAGAGGGUGAUCGGCCACACUGGAACUGAGACACGGUCCAGACUCCUACGGGAGGCAGCAGUGGGGAAUUUUGCGCAAUGGGCGGAAGCCUGACGCAGCAACGCCGCGUGGAGGAUGAAGGUCUUUGGAUUGUAAACUCCUGUCAGCAGGGAAAAAGGGACCCGACCUCAUACGUCGGGAACUUGAUUGUACCUGCAGAGGAAGCCCCGGCUAACUCUGUGCCAGCAGCCGCGGUAAUACAGAGGGGGCAAGCGUUAUUCGGAAUUAUUGGGCGUAAAGGGCGCGUAGGCGGCCAUUCAAGUGACGGGUGAAAGCCCUCGGCUUAACCGAGGAACUGCCUGUCAGACUGGAUGGCUUGAGACCGGGAGAGGUGAGUGGAAUUCCCAGUGUAGCGGUGAAAUGCGUAGAUAUUGGGAGGAACACCAGUGGCGAAGGCGGCUCACUGGACCGGAACUGACGCUGAGGCGCGAAAGCGUGGGGAGCAAACAGGAUUAGAUACCCUGGUAGUCCACGCCGUAAACGAUGAGUGCUUGGUGUAGCGGGUAUCGACCCCUGCUGUGCCGAAGUCAACACAUU
rnacentral:rRNA from 1 species